rnacentral:rRNA from 1 species
CCCUUAGAUGUUCUGGGCUGCACGCGCGCUACACUGAUGCGAUCAACAAGUUUUUCCUAUGUCGAUAGACACGGGUAAUCUUUUGAACUCGCAUCGUGAUGGGGAUAGAUUAUUGUAAUUAUUAAUCUUCAACGAGGAAUCCCUAGUAGGUGCAAAUCAUCAGUUUGCAUCGAUUACGUCCCUGCCCUUUGUACACACCGCCCGUCGCUGCUACCGAUUGGUUGAUCUGGUGAAUUAUUCGGACUGCCGGCUGAAGGGGUUUCCUCAUCUGCCAGCGGAAAGUCUUGUUAACCCUAUCAACUAGAGGAAGCAGAAGUCGUAACA